rnacentral:rRNA from 1 species
AUGUGGCAAAAUGAAAUAAUUAAUAGUAAGUUAGAGGUGAAACGCCAGUCGAGCUUUAUAUAUCUAGUUUUUUCCGAGAAAAAUUUAAUUUUAGUUUUUGUUUCAUUAGGCAGAACUCUUAUCUUAAGGGGGACAAGCUCUUUAAGUGGUGUUUGGAUUAGAAUAUAGUUAUUUUUUGUUUAGGCUUAAAACCAGCCAUAGUAUUAGAUCGUUUUAGUCUCUAGAUGUUUGUUAAGUAUUAUUUUUAUAAUGUCCAGCUAAAAUAGGAAAAAUUUUGUAUUAAUAUGUGUUGUAAAUUUUUAAUGAUUGUAUUAGUAGAUAAUGUUUUGUAAUAAGUAAAGUUAAAUUUUUAGGUUACUUUUAUUGUUUAUGGAUUUGCAGCUAAAGAACUCGGCAAAUUUUACUUCUGCCUGUUUAUCAAAAACAUGUCUGUGUGUGGGUUGUGUACACAGUCUAGCCUGCCCACUGAAAUAUUUAAAGGGCCGCGGUAUUUGAACCGUGCUAAGGUAGCAUAAUAAAUAGUCUUUUAAUUGAGGUCUAGUAUGAAUGGUUGGACAUGAAGUAAGCUGUUUCAGCUGUAGUAAUUGAAUUUUACAUUUAAGUGAAAAGGCUUAAAUUUGGUGGUGGGACGAUAAGACCCUAUAAAGCUUUAUAUUUUACUUUUGGGUUGAAUAAUGUAAGGUUUUUUAGUACCUUUGUGUAAAAUAUUUCGUUGGGGCGACGGAAAUAUAAAAUGUAACUGUUUUUGCAUAAAAAUAAAUUUUAUUAGGGAUUUGAUCCUUUUUAGAGAUUAAAAGAAUUAAGUUACUUUAGGGAUAAC